AUUGAACGCUGGCGGCAUGCUUUACACAUGCAAGUCGAACGGUAACAGCACUUCGGUGGCUGACGAGUGGCGAACGGGUGAGUAAUACAUCGGAACGUGCCUAGUAGUGGGGGAUAACUACUCGAAAGAGUAGCUAAUACCGCAUGAGAUCUAAGGAUGAAAGCAGGGGACCUUCGGGCCUUGCGCUACUAGAGCGGCUGAUGGCAGAUUAGGUAGUUGGUGGGAUAAAAGCUUACCAAGCCGACGAUCUGUAGCUGGUCUGAGAGGACGACCAGCCACACGGGGACGGAGACACGGCCCGAACCCCUAGGGGAGGCAGCGGGGGGGAAUUUUGGAAACGGGGGGAAAGCCUGAUCCAGCAAUGCCGGGGGCAGGAUGAAGGCCUUCGGGUUUGAAACUUCUUUUUUAGGGAACAAAAGCCCCCUUUUUAAAACGGGGGGGUCAUGACGGAACCGAAAAAAAAAGCACCGGCAAACUACGG
rnacentral:rRNA from 1 species